AGAUUGAACGCUGGCGUCAUGCCUUACACAUGCAAGUCGAACGGUAACAGGUUAAGCUGACGAGUGGCGAACGGGUGAGUAAUAUAUCGGAACGUGCCCAGUAGUGGGGGAUAGCCCGGCGAAAGCCGGAUUAAUACCGCAUACGACCUACGGGUGAAAGGGGGGGAUCGCAAGACCUCUCGCUAUUGGAGCGGCCGAUAUCAGAUUAGCUAGUUGGUGGGGUAAAAGCUCACCAAGGCGACGAUCUGUAGCUGGUCUGAGAGGACGACCAGCCACACUGGGACUGAGACACGGCCCAGACUCCUACGGGAGGCAGCAGUGGGGAAUUUUCCGCAAUGGGCGAAAGCCUGACGGAGCAAGACCGCGUGGGGGAAGAAGGCUCUUGGGUUGUAAACCCCUUUUCUCUGGGAAGAACGCAAUGACGGUACCAGAGGAAUCAGCAUCGGCUAACUCCGUGCCAGCAGCCGC
rnacentral:rRNA from 1 species